UACGUAGGGGGCAAGCGUUGUCCGGAAUCAUUGGGCGUAAAGCGCGUGUAGGCGGCUUGAUAAGUCUGUUGUGAAAGUCCAGGGCUCAACUCUGGAAUGCCGAUGGAUACUGUCAAGCUCGAGUCCGGAAGAGGCGAGUGGAAUUCCUGGUGUAGCGGUGAAAUGCGCAGAUAUCAGGAGGAACACCAAUGGCGAAGGCAGCUCGCUGGGACG
rnacentral:rRNA from 1 species